rnacentral:tRNA from 1 species
UCCUCAGUGGUCCAGUGGUUAAGACUCUGUGGUUGUACUGCAGAGGGCACUGUUUCAAUCCCUGUUUGGGGAA